rnacentral:sRNA from 1 species
CUGCUUGAGAUUUCCCUCGUGGUGCCAGGGUCCGGCGAGCGUCACGCCGAGGCCCAUUUUCCAGACGACCACGACGACGCCGGGGUCACUGCGUUUUCUGGGAGGCACUGUGCUUGACAGUAGGAAGACGAUGCUGAGAUGCAGUCCCUGGCUGUGGAGUAACUUGAGCGUCUUGGGGGUGUAGUCUGUAAAUGAUGGACUUCCCCGGCUCCCUCCGCCCUGCGUUGUUUCUGACCGGCCCCCUUGGUCUGAGCGACGUCCCUGACCUCUCUUUCAUGUGCAGCUGGCAAGACGCGCUGACUCUGCCAGAGGCCCAGCCCCAGAACUCAGAGAAUGGGGCACUGCAUGUGACCAAGGACCUGCUGUGGGAGCCAGCAACCCCUGGGCCUCUCCCCAUGCUGCCUCCCCUCAUCGAUCCCUGGGACCCUGGCCUGACUGCCCGGGACCUGCUUUUCCGCGGAGGGUACCGGUAUCGGAAGCGGCCCCGAGUCGUGCUGGAUGUUACUGAGCAGGUGAGUGGGCCCACGGGGGACAGUGCUGCGUAGCCUGGAGACUGUGCUUAGUGACCUGGCCUCCUCUUCUCCCCAGAUCAGCCGGUUCCUCUUGGAUCAUGGAGACGUAGCCUUUGCGCCCCUGGGGAAGCUGAUGCUGGAGAAUUUCAAGCUGGAGGGAGUGGGGAGCCGCACUAAGAAGAAGACAGUGGUCAGUGUGAAGAAGCUGCUCCAGGACCUCGGUGGACACCAGCCCUGGGGGUGUCCCUGGGCUUACCUCAGCAACCGACAGCGCCGCUUCUCUAUCCUCGGGGGCCCCAUCCUGGGCACGUCGGUGGCGAGCCACUUGGCAGAGCUGCUGCACGAGGAGCUGGUGCUGCGGUGGGAGCAGCUGCUUCUGGAUGAGGCCUGCACUGGGGGCGCGCUGGCCUGGGUUCCUGGAAGGACACCCCAGUUCGGGCAGCUGGUCUACCCUGCUGGAGGCGCCCAGGACAGGCUGCAUUUCCAAGAGGUCGUUCUGACCCCAGGUGACAAUCCCCAAUUCCUUGGGAAACCUGGACGCAUCCAGCUCCAGGGACCUGUCCGGCAAGUGGUGACAAGCACCGUCCAGGGAGAAAGUAAGGCCCUUACAUACACUUUCCUCCCUCAGUGGCUGACCUGCUACCUGACCCCUGACCCUUUCCAUCCCUCCUCAGCUCUGCUGGCCGUCCGCUCUGACUACCACUGUGCCGUGUGGAAGUUUGGUAAACAGUGGCAGCCAACCCUUCUGCAGGCAAUGCAGGUGGAGAAAGGGGCCACAGGGAUCAGCCUCAGCCCUCACCUGCCCGGGGAGCUGGCCAUCUGCAGCCGCUCAGGAGCCGUCUGCCUGUGGAGCCCUGAGGAUGGGUAUUGCCGCUUCCUGUGAAACCCCCCACCCUAACCAACUGAACUCCGCCCUGUUUAGCAUGUCACGACCCUUGAGCCCCUUCCCCAUCAGCCUGU